rnacentral:rRNA from 1 species
CAGCAGCCACGGUAAUACGAAGGGGGCUAGCGUUGCUCGGAAUUACUGGGCGUAAAGGGCGCGUAGGCGGACAGUUCAGUCGGGGGUGAAAGCCCGGGGCUCAACCUCGGAAUUGCCUUCGAUACUGGCUGUCUUGAGUAUGAGAGAGGUGUGUGGAACUCCGAGUGUAGAGGUGAAAUUCGUAGAUAUUCGGAAGAACACCAGUGGCGAAGGCGACACACUGGCUCACUACUGACGCUGAGGCGCGAAAGCGUGGGGAGCAAACAGGAUUAGAGACCCGCGUAGUCCCUGUCUCUUAUAC